GAUGAACGCUGGCGGCGUGCCUAAUACAUGCAAGUAGAACGCUGAAGCUUGGUGCUUGCACCGAGCGGAUGAGUUGCGAACGGGUGAGUAACGCGUAGGUAACUUGCCUCUUAGCGGGGGAUAACUAUUGGAAACGAUAGCUAAUACCGCAUAAAAGACGAUAUCGCACGAUCUGUAUUUGAAAGGUGCAAUUGCAUCACUAAGAGAAGGACCUGCGUUGUAUUAGCUAGUUGGUGAGGUAACGGCUUACCAAGGCGACGAUACGUAGCCGACCUGAGAGGGUGAUCGGCCACACUGGGACUGAGACACGGCCCAGACUCCUACGGGAGGCAGCAGUAGGGAAUCUUCGGCAAUGGGGGCAACCCUGACCGAGCAACGCCGCGUGAGUGAAGAAUGUUUUCGGAUCGUAAAGCUCUGUUGUAAGAGAAGAACGAGUGUGAGAGUGGAAAGUUCACACUGUGACGGUAACUUACCAGAAAGGGACGGCUAACUACGUGCCAGCAGCCGCAGUAACAC
rnacentral:rRNA from 1 species